GGGGGUGUAGCUCAAGUGGUAGAGCACAUGCUUAGCAUGCAUGGGGUCCUGGGUUCCAUUCCCAGUACUUCCU
rnacentral:tRNA from 1 species